rnacentral:rRNA from 1 species
GGAAGUAAAAGUCGUAACAAGGUUUCCGUAGGUGAACCUGCGGAAGGAUCAUUACUGAUUUAGCGAACCGAGCAUUAGCGAGGUUUUGCGAUCAACUUGUAUUUAAAACCCACUCUUUAAUGUAUAAAAUUUGUAUUAGUGAUAAAUUAAAAGAUCACUUUCAACAACGGAUCUCUUGGCUCUCGCAUCGAUGAAGAACGUAGCGAAGUGCGAUAAGUAAUGUGAAUUGCAGUAUUCCGUGAAUCAUCGAAUCUUUGAACGCAUAUUGCACUUUCUGGUAUUCCGGAAAGUAUGCCUGUUUGAGGGUCAGUUAAAUAAAAAUCGGUGUUGUUGCUGCCUUUCGUGGUGACGCGUCGGAAUUGAGUUGUCUUACCUUCGGUUAAGUGACUUAAAAUUUUGUAUGAUUUUUGAACGUAUUUAAAUUUAUUUGUACGUUUGAGAUAUCGAAUAUUUAUUAGGUUCGGUCAUUCUAACGACUCGCGCCUAUAAUUUUCCAUUAAAUGACCUCAAAUCAGGUAAGAAUACCCGCUGAACUUAAGCAUAUCAAUAAGCGGAGGA